GCCCUCGUAGCUUAAAACAAAGCAUGGCACUGAAGAUGCCAAGAUGGGCCCUCACAAGCCCCGAAGACA
rnacentral:tRNA from 1 species